rnacentral:rRNA from 1 species
GAAUCUUGGGAAUGGGCGAAAGCCUGACCCAGCAACGCCGCGUGGGCGAUGAAGGCCUUAGGGUCGUAAAGCCCUUUUGUGAGGGACGAUGAUGACGGUACCUCACGAAUAAGCCACGGCUAACUACGUGCCAGCAGCCGCGGUAAUACGUAGGUGGCAAGCGUUGUCCGGAUUUACUGGGCGUAAAGGGCGCGCAGGCGGUUUGUCUAGUCUAGGGUGAAAGCUCCCGGCUCAACUGGGAGAGGUCCUUGGAUACUGGCAGACUCGAGUGAGGCAGAGGAAAGUGGAAUUCCCGGUGUAGUGGUGAUAUGCGUAGAUAUCGGGAGGAACACCAGUGGCUAAGGCGGCUUUCUGGGCCUUACCUGACGCUGAGGCGCGAAAGCGUGGGGAGCGAACCG